GCUUCAACGGAAAUGUCUAAAAAAUAAAAUAAAAAUAACGCCAAUUUGCCCGUAAAUAUGAUGUUCAAACACAAGUAAUGUUAAUUCCCAAGUUGAAGUACCUCAGUAGAUGGGUGCAGAGUAUAUAAUAUGUAUAAUUAUAUUAAUGCAUCAUUAAAAUAAAGUAUUAGACUAAAAGUAAACCUGUAAAAUCUAUUUUCUUUUCUCUUUACAUCAUUAUAACUCUCCUAAAAUGUACCUCAUACAUUCCCUUCUAAAGGAACUUUGUUCCCUUCUCACUCAAAGCCCUCGCGCUUGUUAAAGAGUGGCGUGCUGUCAUAGCAACCAUGUUACGUUCCGUUUCCGUUCGUCCUACGAAGGCCGCCUCAUUUAAACGAGGCUUGUUUAAAGGAGGGCGGUCGGUAUACUGCAGCCUUCAAAGGACGCGUCCUACCACUCUAGACACAUGUCCGCUUUCACACCUCAUAGGUUCGCGUGUUUGGUGGACCGGUCCGAUAGGAGGACACACAUCCACACCUUCUCGCUCCAGUCUCCAUAUAAAAUCUGUUCUUCCGGAUAUAAUCGGCAGAUUGAGGAAGAAAGCGCAGACGGGCCGCAGCGAUGCAUUCGAUGACCUUCAUGAUACUGUUAGUUUUCCUGAUGUUGUUGGCAUUUUAUACACCUGCGGAAUCUCUUCAUUUUUUCAAGACAUCUGACGAAGAAUGUCCUACAAUGCAGGAAAUCCCAUCAUGUGAUAGUAUACUUGCAUCCAAGUUCAAGGCAUAUAUAUACCAGGUGCCGCAGAACAUCUCCACAAACCAUUGCGAACAUGGAUGGUAUUAUCAGGUGGACAUGUUUUUAUUUGUAGGAUUUUAUUUAACUAUUAGUUGUUUAAUCAUAAUAUUAUGAGAGUAAAACUUUUGAUAAUUCAUCCGUUUUCUGUUCUUUUGUACUUAGAAUGGAACAUUUAUUGUUGAUUCAACCCCGGAUGGCAAUGGGAAGAAGUUUGAAUUUGUCAUGGAUGUGACACCUCAGAACCUGACAGUCAGUGCCUGUAUGAACCUUCAGUGGCAAAUUCACUGUGAACACAUUCAGUAUAUCUGUGCAAUCAAUUAUACAGAACAAGAUUAUAAACAAUCCCAAUAUUUUUCUCCAAAUGUAUGUAUUUUGUGUGAGUUACACAUCUAGCCAUAACAGAAUUAGAUGGUAAAUUUUCCAGAUUUACUUGGUGCAUCAUCAUUUUCAUCUAUAUAUUCAAGUUAUAUUGUCAUGAAAAUCAUAAUGAACAUUACAUUUUAUAUAGCACUUUUCUGACACUACACUCAAAGCGCUUUACAUUGUGUACAGGGGACUUUCCUCAACCACCACCAGUGUGCAGCAUCCAACUUGCAGUAUAAAGAGAACAGUCAAAUAGAAUUAUGGAUAAGUGUAAAAAAUAAUAAAUACUAGUGAAUGGUUAAAAAUGGCCUUUUCAGGUCUGUCGUCUGCAGUGUACACCAUGUACCAGAGUGUUAAGUAGUAUACUGUAACUUAUAUGAAAUAUGCUCUUGUGUGUGUUUGUGUCUUAAGUUUUAGAAUUGAAACAUCAAGCAACACAUGACUCCUUGCCAACAAAUGUGCCUCCAUGGGAUGAAGUUGAAACCCAUAAUUGUCCCUCCCUGGGGAUUGGAUUAACUGUGAUUUGCAUUAUAUUGGGAAUCGUUGGUUUGACUGUCUGUUCCAUUUGCUACUGCCGUCAAAACCCCAGAAACAGGACAGAUUACGUUGCGGCUAAACAAAAUGGUGUGGAGUUGUGAGUGAACAUCUGGGCUGGUCACCAAAAAGAGUGAUUCUAGAGUUAUUGAGCAAAAGACCUUGAGCUAAGCACUUCGCCCCAGGUUACUUCACAGGAAUUAGCCUUUGUAAAAAGUAAGUCACACUUGUAUAGUGUGUUUGCUUAAAUUACUAACAUAAUUUCUUAAUCUGUAGUCUUUCAUUUUAUUUUAUAACAAUGGGUGUCUUUGUAAAGUGUAACUAAUAUAUCGUUAACUCUGUCAUUCUAUUGUUUAAUUAGCAUUUAGCGUCUCACACCUUUGUAGAUUGUUGGUUUUUAAUCAACGUGCAAUCAUGGGCCCUGUUUUAAGGGUGCUGAGCACAGCGCUAUGCCAUAAGUCAUAAAUGCUAAGACAGUGGGAAUGGCCAUGAAGUUUUGGUAUUUUCAAGCAAGCAAAAUCAUGGGUUUGGCAAAAUCAUGCACAGGGCUCUAAUCGGGUCAAGUGCAAUUUAAUUCGGAGGUUUUUCUCCUGCACCAUCUGCUUCCUGUUUUAUAUAGUCCAUUCCCUUAAGCACCCGUGAUAUAAACAAAGACUGCACAUUCAUGAGAAGCUGGUUGUGUAAAUGGACCGUAUGCAAUGAAUUAGAAGAAUAGAAAUAUGGACUUACAUUAUUUUGUUAAAUGGGACACGCUCCUUUUACGCAUGGAAAAUGUGGUUCAGGUUAUGGAUGUAGGCUCCGUUAAAUUAUAGAGAAUGUAAGUAUUAUUAAUAAUUUUCAUCUAAUGACAUACACAUAAGGCUAGUAUUAACAGUGAUUGUAUUGGCACACACAUCACUUCUACCAGACGAUUUUGAUUUAGAAAAAUGUAAUUCAUUUAUUGAAACACGAAAAAAUGAAACCUAAAAUAUUUCUAAAUUCAUAUUACACAUCAAACGAAAAUAUUAUCAAAAUAAUGAAGUGGUCCAAAAUAUUCCAUAUCCAAACAUUUUACUCUCUCAAACUUCUUCCACCAGCUCGUUUUGCAAUGACAUAAAAAUGAAUCUACAGGAACGGGUGGAAAUUCUUUGAAAAAAAAUUGAAACGUCUUAGCGCAAUGACCGAUUUAUCAGGAAAAUAGAAAAUUGCGCUUUACACCACUUCAUUAACAUAAUCGCAAAAACCAUAUAUGCAGUGUAUGUAGGGGCGGCAUUUAAAGGGGGGGCACCGAUGGGUAAUUAAAGGGGGUGCAAUUGGAAACACCGCCCCCCCCCCACUCAACAGUUACAAAGGACGUGAAAGUUGAUUUUGCAUACAUACUCGAAAAUGGGUAGUUGCGCCCCUGCAUACAAUACACUGAUCAGUAAUCAUGAAUAAUCGUGAAUACUCCCACCCAUGCCCACUUGCGCUUUGCACUGGCAAGAAAAUUGCACUUAGAAUUAGCGCUUUCACAAAAAUCGGAUAAGACGUAGCGCACAGUCGUAGCGCGUAGUGCUGCGCUUUGUGCGCUUCCAAAAAUAGAGCCCCAUGACUCUAUUUUGAGCUUCACCAAAGGCAGAACUGACACUGAAAAAUAGCAUUUUUUGACAAAUUAUAGUAAUAAUAAUGAUAUUUAUGUUUCUAUAUACAGUUGUGCUCAAAAGUUUGCAUACCCUUGGAGAAUUGGUAAUUAUAUGUACCAUUUUUAAAGAAAACAUGAGUGAGCAGGCAAAACACAUUUCUUUCUUAUGGGAUUCAUAUUCAGCUGUAGGUUAUAACAGGAUGGCACAAUCAUAAAACAAAACAUGGCAACAAAGAAAAAAAUGAAAUGACCCCUGUUCAAAAGUCUGCAUACCCAUAGUUCUUAAUACUGUGUAUUGCCCCCUUUAGCAUCAAUGACAGCGUGCAGUCUUUUGUAAUAGUUGUCUUAUGAGGCCCCAAAUUCUUGCAGGUGGUAUAGCUGCCCAUUCGUCUUGGCAGAAUGCCUCCAGGUCAUGCAAAGUCUUUGGUUGUCUUGCAUGAACCGCACGUUUGAGAUCUCCCCAGAGUGGCUCGAUGAUAUUAAGGUCAGGAGACUGUGAUGGCCACUCCAGAACCUUCACCUUUUUCUGCUGUAACCACUGGAGUGUCAACUUGGCCUUGUGCUUAGUGUCAUUGUCGUGCUGGAAAGUCCAAGACCGUCCCAUGCACAGCUUUCAUGCAGAAGAAUGCAAAUUGUCUGCCAGUAUUUUCUGAUAACAUGCUGCAUUCAUCUUGCCAUCAAUUUUCACAAGAUUCCCCGUGCCUUUAGAGCUCACACACCCCCAAAACAUCAGCGAGCCACCACCAUGCUUCACAGUGGGGAUGGUAUUCUUUUCACUAUAGGCCUUGUUGACCCCUCUCCAAACAUAGCGCUUAUGGUUGUGACCAUAAAGCUCUAUUUUUGUCUCGUCACUCCAAAUUACAGUGUGCCAGAAGCUGUGAGGCACGUCAAAGUGUUGUCGGGCAUAUUGUAACUGGGCUUUUUUGUGGCAUUGGCUUCUUUCUGGCAACUCGACCAUGCAUCUCAUUUUUAUUCAAGUAUCGUCAUAUUGUGCUCCUUGACACAACCACACCGUCUUUUUCCAGAGCAGCCUGUAUUUCUCCCGAGGUUACCUGUGGGUUUUUCUUUGUAUCCCGAACAAUUCUUCUGGCAGUUUUGGCUGAAAUCUUUCUUGGUCUACCUGACCUUGGCUUGGUAUCAAGAGAUCCCUGAAUUUUCUAUUUCUUAAUAAGUGAUUGAACAGCACUGACUGGCAUUUUCAAGGCUUUGGAUAUCUUUUUAUAUCCUUUUCCAUCUUUAUAAAUUUCCAUUACCUUGUUACGCAGGUCUUUUGACAGUUCUUUUCUGCUCCCCAUGGCUCAGUAUCUAGCCUGCUCAGUGCAUCCACAUGAGAGCUAACACACUCAUUGACUAUUUAUACACAGACACUAAUUGCAAUUUAAAAAGCCACAGGUGCGGGAAAUUAACCUUUAAUUGCCAUUUAAACCUGUGUGUGUCACCUUGUGUGUCUGUAACAAGGCCAAACAUUCAAAGGAAUGUAAACUUUUGAUCAGGGCCAUUUGGGUGAUUUCUGUUAUCAUUAUGAUUUAAAAAGGAGCCAAACAACUAUGUGAUAAUAAAUGGCUUUAUAUGAUCACUAUCCUUAAAUAAAAGACAGUUUUUUUUUUUUUUUUUUUUUUUUUUUUUUGCAUGAUCAGUCAUAUUUUCAAAAUCAGUGCCAAAAUGUCUGCCAGGGUAUGUAAACUUUUGAGCACAACUGUAUAUCAUAUUACUUAUAUAUUGAUCAUAAAUCCAAGUGCUAGUUGUCAAGCACUGAUUAUACAGAGGCUAAGAGAGUCAUGUAUGUUUUCUUUAUCUAUUUAUAUAUCUAUAUCUAUCUAUAUAUACAGUAUAUAGCUCAUAAACCUGUAUAUGUAAUAUUACAUGGCACUUAUUUCUUGAGAUUGUGGAUAUAAUGUAAAUGAGGGAGAGAGGAAACGUCUGUCUAGCUGCUGCGAUUAUCCAGACAUUGGCUCUGUUUACAUUGGGUGGGGCUAGGCCCUUUUACUGUGGGGUCAAAGGAAAUGUACAAUGAGGGCAAGUAUUUUAAAUUGUUGCUGUGGAAGCAAAAUGCUUUGAAAUGCUGUGCCAGUGAGAACACAAAUCUAAUGCAUUUUUUAUUAUAUCCACUUAAAUGUAAAUCUGGAGAAUUGUAAACGAUAAUCAAGCUUAAAAGUGAAGUGUCUAAUUUCUGUGCCUGUAGCGGCACCAAGCGGAAUUGGAAAAAAAUAUAAAUGUUUUCAAACAGGAUUCCCAAUCAUUCCCCUCGUCCUCCUGUUUUAGUGGUGUGGGGAAAAAAAUGGUCCCAUCCCAAACACCUUAACUUUGAGUUAAUGUUUUUGUGUUUGGCUGGGGAUGCUCAAACAAGCAGAACAUGUUUUGAAAACGCUACACUUUUUACACCUAUCUGGAAAACCAACCUACCAAUAGAUUACUGGGUUGUCUCUGCAUAUUAAGCUGGGACAGGAUAAAGUAUUUUAACACAGAAUAAUUACACGCUUCACCUUUAACUAAAGGAGAAAAGGAUGUUAUUAAGAAGCUUUUGUACUGUGUGUGUGUGUGUGUGUGUGUGUGUGUGUGUGUGUGUGUGUGUGUGUAUAAUAUAAUAUAAUAUAAUAUAUAUAUAUAUAUAUAUAUAUAAAAUAAAUUAUUAUAUCACUCUGUGCCAUGCUAUCUGCUGAUACUCACUACAUUGAGGAAGGUACUUUUAAUUGUUUUUAUCGGCCUAUAAUGAAUAUAGACUUAUAAAUGAUGUUUAGGUGUGGCGACAUUUGAAAUGUAUCAUACUAUGUAUUAUGGUAAUAAGAAAUAUUAAUGGUUAAUGGUAAAAGUGAGCUGUAUCUACAUUAUAUUGAUUCAGUGUCAGCUGCCAGUUUGUUGUGAAGUUAAAUUAGCAUUGCUACUUAUGUUAAAAAUAUUUUUAAUUUUUCCAAAGCUUUUUUGUAUAAAAUAUCAUUACUAUACAAUCUCUUUUUAAUGUUUUCUGCCUGCAUUUUCACCACUUCAAUUUCUGUCCAUUUUAUUUUCUGUCAAUAAAAUCUAAUGAGACCAUU